rnacentral:rRNA from 1 species
CACGUAGGGCGCGAGCGUUGUCCGGAAUUAUUGGGCGUAAAGAGCUCGUAGGCGGCCUGUUGCGUCCGCUGUGAAAGCCCGGGGCUUAACCCCGGGUCGGCAGUGGAUACGGGCAGGCUAGAGGUAGGUAGGGGAGAAUGGAAUUCCCGGUGUAGCGGUGAAAUGCGCAGAUAUCGGGAGGAACACCGGUGGCGAAGGCGGUUCUCUGGGCCUUCUCUGACGCUGAGGUGCGAAAGCUAGGGUAGCAAACGGG